AUUGAACGCUGGCGGCAGGCUUAACACAUGCAAGUCGAGCGGGGUGAUGGUGCUUGCACUAUCACUUAGCGGCGGACGGGUGAGUAAUGCUUAGGAAUCUGCCUAUUAGUGGGGGACAACAUCUCGAAAGGGAUGCUAAUACCGCAUACGUCCUACGGGAGAAAGCAGGGGAUCACUUGUGACCUUGCGCUAAUAGAUGAGCCUAAGUCGGAUUAGCUAGUUGGUGGGGUAAAGGCCUACCAAGGCGACGAUCUGUAGCGGGUCUGAGAGGAGGAUGCGCCGGACUGGGACUGAGACACGGCCCAGGUUCCUACGGGGGGCAGGAGUGGGGUAUAUUGGACAAUGGGGGGAACCCUGAUCCAGCCAUGCCGCGUGUGUGAAGAAGGCCUUAUGGUUGUAAAGCACUUUAAGCGAGGAGGAGGCUCUUUUGGUUAAUACCCAAGAUGAGUGGACGUUACUCGCAGAAUAAGCACCGGCUAACUCUGUGCCAGCCGCCACCGUAAAAC
rnacentral:rRNA from 1 species